GGGUCGUUAGCUCAGUUGGUAGAGCAGUUGAGUUUUAAUCAAUUGGUCGCAGGUUCGAAUCCUGCACGACCCACCA
rnacentral:tRNA from 1 species